GAUGAACGCUGACAGAAUGCUUAACACAUGCCAGUCAUUGGCGAAGCUGCGCUUGCGCAGUCUAGCCAAGGCGGACGGGUGAGUAACGCGUAAGGAACUUGCCCUGCAGACAGGGAUAACAGACGGAAACGACUGAUAACACCUGGUAUUGUCAGGCUGGCGCAUGCCGGCCUGAUGAAAGGAGACGCUGCAGGAGAGCCUUGCGUCCUAUUAGCUAGUUGGGGGGGUAACGGCCCACCAAGGCGAUGAUAGGUAGCCGGCCUGAGAGAGUGAACGGCCAAAAGGGGACGGAGAUACGACCCUUACGCCUAGGAGAGGAAGCAGUGGAAAAUAUUGGAAGAUGGAGGCAACCAUGAGACAGGAAUGCAGUGGGCACGAAGAAGGUUUUCGGAGUGUAAAGAGCUUGCAGAAGAGAAGAAGAAAGUGACGGUACCUGCAGAAGAAGCGACGGAUAAAUACGUG
rnacentral:rRNA from 1 species